AGGAAUCAAGUUGUGCGGUCGGUGAUGCCUGAGUCAGCGACCGGCCUGGGCCUCUGCCCUUAGGAGGCAACUCCCAGGCAGGCCGAAAAGGCCGGGAGCCUUUGUUUCGGUUUCGCGGCGGCAGCGGCGUUGUUGGCUGAGGGGACCCAGGACACCAGAAUGCCCCCGGCCCCGGCUCCUCUGAUGCGAUGGGGAAAGUGCUAUCCAAAAUCUUCGGGAACAAGGAAAUGCGGAUCCUCAUGUUGCGCCUGGACGCGGCCGGCAAGACAACAAUCCUGUAAAAGUUGAAGCUGGGCCAGUCGGUGACCACAAUUCCCACUGUGGGUUUCAACGUGGAGACAGUGACUUACAAAAAUGUCAAGUUCAACAUAUGGGAUGUGGGCGGCCAGGACAAGAUCCGCCGCUCUGGCAGCAUAACUACACUGGGACCCAAGGUCUGAUCUUCAUAGUGUACUGUGCCAACUGCCACCGCAUCGAUGAGGCUCACCAGGAGCUGCACCGCAUUAUCAAUGACCGGGAGAUGAGGGACGCCAUAAUCCUCAUCUUCGCCAACAAGCAGGACCUGCCCGAUGCCAUGAAACCCCACGAGAUCCAGGAGAAACUGGGCCUGACCCGGAUUCAGGACAGGAACUGGUAUGGGCAGCCCUCCUGUGCCACCUCAGGGGAUGGACUCUAUGAGGGGCUCACAUGGUUAACCUCUAACUACAAAUCUUGAUGAGCACUGUCCACCCAUCCCCUGGAAGGAGAGAAAUCAAAAACCCAUUCACAGGAUUAUUGCCACCAUCACCUCUUUCAAUUGCCACUUUUCUUUUGAAUUUGAACUCUGGAGUUACUGUUCUACAGUUUGGGGGGAGAGGGCUUGAGGGUUUUCUCUUUUGUUUGUUUCCCUCUUUCCACUUUUUUUUUUUUUUGGCUUUGCGUUAGGAUGCUCUGAUAUUUGACAUGAACACAAAGUUGCUAGAUGCUCUUGUUGACUUCCAGUAGAUGGGAUGGGGGAAAUACAGCAGUUCUUGGUAAAAUCCUUUGUAAUAACAGUUUGAUUUUUUUUUAUUUCGAGAAUCUUUCAUUUUCCUAUGAAUGCUUUUUUCCUUUUUUGCCCAGUUUCCUUAUCACUUGCUGUAGACGGCUUAUUUUGCAUUCAUGCAGACUAUGUUGCAAGUCUGUUUCAUCUAGUAAACUGAAAAUUAUUGCUUAAUCAAACUGUCAUUUUUCUUUUAUAUUUAAGGCCUUUCCCCCUUCCUUAUGAGUUCUAACUUAGUAAUUUCAAAUGUGACCUUUUAUAUCUAAGACCAGUAUAGUAAACUUAGCCCACAGGGGCAAAUGAUGAGUAAUAUCAUUGUAAUGUGUUCCAGUUGCACCUCAGUAUGUUAAACAGGUAAUGUAAGAAGUUCUCUGAAAUGUCAGCAAAUAAGUUCUGAAACAUACAUCAUGCAUGAGUAGGAAUAAAACCCAAGUUCCCCAUAAUGUAGCUAACUUAAUGCUGCAUAAAAAUAUGAAAGUGUAACCCAUGAAGGACACACUUUUUUUUUCCACUGCAAAGUUAGUCACUUUGCUGUUUUUCCUCUUUUUUAAACUUUAAAAAUAGACUCUUCCCAGAAAUUGGAGCAAUAAUGGUGUAUACCACACAUAGAUUAAAUAUUUGUAGAUAUUUUAAGUGACUUUUGGGCAAAACUGGAAUGUAAUACUUUUACCUUGUUACAAACGCCUAAGACCAGUAAUUUAAAAAUUACUAACAGGUUUACCUUGUUCAUUAAUAAAGCGUGUAACCAUUCAAAUUAUAUGCACAUUUUACCUGGUUAAAAAAAUACACAUUCCUGUUUUCACAUUAUAGCAACUGAUUAAGCUGAAGCUAUAAAUCAUUUUUUAUAGAUGAGUGAUCCACAUCUCCAUCAAUUAGAAGACUGGAAAACAUGUUUUAUAAAAGAGGUAUUUAAUUUUGUUUGCAGGAUUAACUCAUGCAAAUAAAAAAGAUAUCCUGUUGGUUCAAUAGUACACUGUCUCCUUUAAGGAAGGAAGCAUGAUGAAUGAUGUGUAGACUUGAGGGAUGACUAUUAAAGUGGAUGGAGGAUGAGGACAAAGAACCUACAGAUUACAAUGAAUGUAAACUUAAUUUUUCUUCAUGUGUAAGCAGUGUGCUCGCUGGUGAUAUCUAGAUCCUAACAAGAUUACUUGGUUAGCUGGCUAAGACCAGUAACUGGAUUGCGACCACUAUGAUAAUAUUUUGAACCAAAUAUUAAUGCUUGAUGCAGAAUUGUAAAGCAGCAUCUGGUUCCUAUAUAGCCUUAAGGAAUAAUUUCAGUGAUCCUCAAGGAAUUAAAUAGGGAAUUUCAGAAAUGUAGACUGCAAAGGCAGUAUACAGGAAAAGGUGCAGUGGGUUUUGUUUAUGAGCGUGUCUGAAAACUAAAAUUGAGCAGGACAUCAUGGUAUAGUUGGACAGUAUUGGUCCUUCAUGCUUUGGCCAUAUUGUAUAAUGGAGCUUUUACCAAAGAUGUAUGAGAAGUGUAAGACUAUAAAAAAAGAACGAUUCAAAGUAAAACUCUUGACAAACACUUUACUUAAAGCAGAUGCAAAAGGUUAUUCUCAUGUAGGCUCCUGUUGGUGCAGAGGGAUUUUUGAUUUCAAGUGCAACUAAAGUACUAAGUUCUCAGUUUCACUUUAGUAGAAAUAGCUCUAGAAAUGAGGCUAAUCAACACAUCUAAGAACACUGGUUGCUUUCUAAAAUUCCCAAAGCUCCACCAUAAAUGUAAUUCUUAGUGUUUUAAAUGAUUGCAUUUUAAGGUAUAUAAAUAUGGGUUAUCCAAUAUCAAUACUAUAGUAACAUCCUGAAACAAAACAAGCACAAAGGUGUAAAUGCCUAAACUGGAGGAAACUUGAAACCCUGUUAAAUCUUUUUUUUUUUUGAGAUGGAGUCUCGCUCUG